rnacentral:lncRNA from 1 species
CAGCCGCCCCUUACGACAAGCAUAGAUUACCGAAGACCAAUUCAAAGCCGGAUCUUCACAGGUGUAGGGCGGUGGUGCAGACGAGUAAAUGCGUGAAGAGUUCCUCGCCAAGGCGGUGGCCGGACCACCAGAUUCAAACUGCUGAAAUCCGGAUCUUCACCAGCUAGGGUAGGAAAGGCUCGCUGAUGCUUUGCAAGGAGUGUUAAGGGUCAGUCAUGUAACUCUUGCAUCCAACAGUGAGUGAAAAGGGCACAUCCACAAGAAAUCUAUCUGGGGCAGAAUCUAAAUAUAUUUCAUUCAAAAUGUUUGAGAAAGAGUGAUUAUAAUCCCAUCACAAAAAACAAACAUUGGUG